rnacentral:rRNA from 1 species
GAAUAUUGCACAAUGGGGGCAACCCUGAUGCAGCGACGCCGCGUGGGUGACGAAGGUCUUCGGAUCGUAAAGCCCUUUUCUGCGUGACGAGCAAGGACGGUAGCGCAGGAAUAAGUCUCGGCUAACUACGUGCCAGCAGCCGCGGUAAAACGUAGGAGACGAACGUUAUCCGGAGUUACUGGGCGUAAAGGGCGUGCAGGCGGCUGAUUAAGUCUGUUGUGAAACACUCCGGCUCAACCGGGGAAGGGCGAUAGAUACUGGUCAGCUCGAGGGCGGUAGAGGCGUGUGGAAUUCCGGGUGUAGUGGUGAAAUGCGUAGAUAUCCGGAGGAACACCAGUGGCGAAGGCGACACGCUGGGCCGCACCUGACGCUAAGACGCGACAGCAUGGGGAGCGAACGGG